UCCCAUCAGAAGGCUUUCCUGUGCUCCAGC
rnacentral:piRNA from 1 species